rnacentral:lncRNA from 1 species
CCAGGCUCAAAGGGUAAGGAAAUAGACCCAGCCACUGAUGAGAGAGACCACAUUCCAACCAAGGAUGCCCACAGAAUGGGGUGGAUAAUAUUAGCAAACAUCUACGAUUAUAUCUCCAAUAAUUCUGGGAAUGAGGAAAACGAAGUUCAACAUGUUCUUAUAAAUCCCUCUGUAGGUUGCAGAUGUGUUCGAGUGCAUUGUGUGUGGUGUCCUGACAAAGCCCUUUUGGUUUUGUGUGUCACAAGGGCUUGGGGCGCUGAGAAUCAGCCUUGGGGACCACCGCUCUCCCGCUUCGAAUUCCCAGCCGGAAUAAAGGAAGGCAUCUGUUUUCAUAAUUUAGGGGAUAAAGUGCCAUCGCUAGGGCAGACAUUUUUGUGGGGAAGGUUGUCUUGUUUUAUAGGAGGGUUGACAGGGGAAAUUAAGCCCCAUUUAGUCCCUCGACCUUUGGUUUCCAAACUGGAAAGAGCACAGUGUGUGUUCCAAUAGCCUCCCUGAAGUCAUUAUUGCUUCAGAGCCAGCUGAAUUGCUUGAUAAUAGCGAUUCUUUGCACUUGUAGAAUGUGUUUCCUCUGAGGAGGGCCAAGUAAUUUACAAUCACUUAUUAAUUAAUCCUCAGUCCCCUGCAUGAGAUGCGGCUGCGAUGCGGCUGCGUCAUUGUGUAUCUUUGACAGAUGUGUGAAGUGGCCAAAGGGAGACAAAGCGACAUUAAGCCUCUGCCCAAGGUCACUUGUCUAACUCACUGGACACCGUCCCAGCUCCACCAGCCUCCCCAUCCGCCCUGCAAGCCUUUCCCACAGAAGCGCUGGAAUUUCUCGGGGCUGGUUCCAGCCAUUGCAGAAAGCCUGACUUUUUCAGAUCAAACAGUCGGUAAGAAGGUGGCAACCUGGAAAUGUGGAUUGCAUUCAUCCUGGGCUUCUCCUACUGGAUGGCAAGGUCUGAACAAUUCGGAAACUCAGUCCUGGGAACCCGGCCAGAGAAGAAACGGAUGGACCUGCUCUCGGGAGGCUUCCGGUCUCCAGAGGCUUCCGGUCGCUGGAGGCUUCCGGUCUCCUGAGGUUUCCGGUCUCCGGAGGCUUCCGGUCUCACGCUGUAGGAAUGCGACAGUCAACCACAGCGAACAUCGCUGCGGUCUGAGAUUAUCAGUAAAUGGUUUCUGAGCAAGGCAGGAACUUAACUGAGCCUUUCCAAAUACUGUUGCUUCCACCUGGAACUCACCCUUCAUCUCAUCUUCUAGAAAAACACCUACGUUUCCUUAAAGAAUCUCCACGUCCAAAGUCAGGGCAUCUUCCAGCUCGCCUCUCAGCCCAGCUCUGCCUUCCCUCCUCCCUCAAGUCCUUCAGUUGCUGCCAGUUCUGCAAAUUACACCUGGAGCGCUUUGACAGAGUUGGCUGGACCAUAGGACCUCGGGGCCUGAGGCAAGACAAGAUUGUCCCAAGUGGAAAUACAGACCUCACGCUCCCUCAAGAUAGCUUAGGGUGUGGAUAAGUAUACACCUGCUAUGCAUAACAGGUG